rnacentral:tRNA from 1 species
AGGUGAGAUGGCAGAGCGGUAAUGCAUUUCGCUGUAAACGGAGUAAGGGAAUACCCGAUCGAGAGUUCAAACCUCUCUCUCACUA